UUAAUCGAAACCAAAAAAGAGGUAUAUUACUGUUAAUAAUAUUAUUGAAAUUAUUUUCCGAUUAAA
rnacentral:tRNA from 2 species